rnacentral:rRNA from 1 species
GACGAACGCUGGCGGCGUGCUUAACACAUGCAAGUCGACAAGAGUGGCGAACGGGUGAGUAACGCGUGAGUAACUGCCCCCCUCUCUGGGAUACCAGUUGGAAACGGCUGCUAAUACCGGAUAUUGGGGGAUGACUCGCGUCCUAUCAGCUUGUUGGUGGGGUAGGAGCCUACAAAGGCGAAGCCGGGUAGCCGGCCUGAGAGGUCGACCGGCAAAAUAUGGCUGAGAGACGGGCCAAACGACUAAGGGAGGUAGCAGUGGGGAAUAUUGCACAAUGGGGGAAACCCUGAGGCAGAAACGCCGAGUGCGGGAGGACGGACUGCGGGUUGGAAACCGCUUUCAGCCAUGACGCGGUAGUGGCAGAAGAAGCACCGGCUAACUACGUGCCAGAAGCCGCGGUAAUAC